rnacentral:rRNA from 1 species
UACGUAGGUGGCAAGCGUUGUCCGGAAUUAUUGGGCGUAAAGCGCGCGCAGGUGGUUCUUUAAGUCUGAUGUGAAAGCCCCCGGCUCAACCGGGGAGGGUCAUUGGAAACUGGGGAACUUGAGUGCAGAAGAGGAUAGUGGAAUUCCAAGUGUAGCGGUGAAAUGCGUAGAGAUUUGGAGGAACACCAGUGGCGAAGGCGACUGUCUGGGUAUAUACUGACACUGAGAAACGAAAGCUUGGGUAGCGAACGGG